ACGGCACAGAUGGGGACACGGCCACACUGACCUAUGGGUUAUGGGUUUCCUCUGGAAAGAGGAAGCUCGUCCCGAGGCUCUGAGGCCUCCAACAAUUCACAUCCCAGAUUCCAUGAAGCUGAGACUUUGUGUGCCGUUCGGAGAGGGCCGGGCUGUUUUCCCUCUUUUCAAUUAUAAAUACCAAACCAUCCCCUAUGGAAGGAAGAACCAUUCUUCACCCACCUAUUGUGGACAGACAGACCUGGAUGGAUUUAAAGGGGGGAGGUGGUGACUGCCGCCCCUCCCCCUACAAACACACACGAUCCAGCUGGAUAGUUUUGUUUUAUUUGGGAAAUUCUGAACCCGUCAAAUGAGUUCCUGGAGCAGCUGGAAAUCCUGGGCAGAGCUCAGGUCUCAGGAAGGGGCACAGCUGACUUGUAUUUUGGUGGGGGUGGGAGGCUUGAAAUUCAGCCAGCAGGGCUGGGGAACCUGAUGUCACCGGAACGUGAGGAGGCAAACCAGACACAGGGUGAUUGAAACGUAAAAAGGCCAUUCACAGUUGGAUGCCAUGUUCCAGCCAGGUGGGUCCCAGGAUAUUAAAGAAACAAGGUGGUUGAGGCGACAUCUUUUACCGUGGACCAACUUCUGUUGGUGAGAGAGAGAGCUACACAGAACUCUUCUUCAGGGCUGGGAAAGGUACUUAGACCAUGUCUGCAUGGGCACUUUCGUUGUUAAAACUUUUGUCGCUCAGGGGUGUGAAAAAAACACUCUCCCAGUGACAAAGCUACGGCCCCUCAUAGGGGGUGGUUUUAUUUUGUCAUCAGGACAGCUCUCUCCCAGUGAAAAAGAGUGGCUACACUGCGCGGCGGCAGUGUCACAGCCACGCCGGUGUAUGGUGCUCCGUGUAGACAUAGCCUAAGGCCUUGUCUACACUGGCAAGUUUCUGCGCAGUAAAGCAGCUUUCUGUGGUGUAACGCCCGAGGUGCGAGCCACUUGGUGCGCAGAAACUGCGCAGUUGCAGCGCUGUAAAAAAACCACCCCAAUGAGAGGCAUACAGCUUUCUGCGCCUGUGGUGUCAGUGUAGACACCCUGGUCAAUUACAGCGCUGUGAUUGGCCUCCAGGAGGUGUCCCACAAUGCCUGUUCUCGCCUCUCUGGUCAUCGGUUUGAACUCUACUGCCCUGCCCUCAGAUGACCAACUGUCAUUCCCACCCCUUAAAUUCCUUGGGAAUUUUGAAAGUCCCCUUCCUGUUUGCUCAGUGACAUGUGAAGCGGUCUCAGCGCAUCUUUCCAGGUGACCAUACCUGCUCCACGCACCAGGCAAUCCCCCACUUGGAGCAAUGCCAAGCUGCUGGACUUCAUCAGCAUUUGGGGGAGAGAAGGCUGUCCAGUCCCAGCUGCGCUCCAGCCGUAAGAAUGAUGAUGCCUAUGGACGAAUUUCACGAUGCAUGACAGAAAGGGGCCAUGACUGGGACACACUGCAUUGCAGGAUCAAAGUGAAGGAGCUGCGGAAUGCCUACCACAAGGCAUGGAAGACAAACUGCCAUUCUGGUGCUGCGCCCAUGAGCUGCCGGUUCUACAAAGAGCUGGACACGAUACUCAGUGACGACCCCACCUCCACUGCAAAAACCACUGUGGAUACUUCGGUGGCUCGUGCGCCAGUCGAGAGUGGACCGAGCCAGGAGGAGGAAACCUUGGACGAGGAUGUGGAAGGACCUAGAGGCAGAGGACGACUUGGAGGUCAGAGAUGCAUGCAGCCAAGAGCUCUUCUGUACCCUGGAGGAGGCUAGCCAAUCACAGCUGUCAGAGCUUGGUGAAGCACAAACAGGAGACCCCUGAUAUGACCCUGGGAGCCCAGCCUCCCUCUUUGUUAUCACCGGCUGAACGUCUACGCAGAAUUAGAAAGCAGCCACGAAGAACUAAAGAGGACUUCCUGCGUGAUGUCAUGAUGCGCUCCGUGGCCGAAAAACAAGAAUUGAAUUGAGUCCUCAGUUGUGGCAGGAUGAAGCCCUUAAGUAGCUUUUCUGCUCCCUUUACAUCUCUUCCUUCUAUCCCCUCGGCCUCUUACUCCUUCUCUCCCUUCCCUCGCUCUUUCACUCAGUUCCCUUCACUAGGCCUGCGUGAGGAGUGGAUAAUGUUUGGCAGGCCUAGCAAGCACUGUUCAAUCAAAGGCCAGUAUUUAAUGGGAUCUGAAAGACUUGCUCCUCCCAGCUGGUGACCCUCCUUUAACUUGGCAUUGACAUUAAUAAGAGCACAGGCGAACUCAGAUCUGCAAUACUGAAAACACAAAGGAGGCCUGAAUAAGAAACAUAUGAAAAAAUGAAGGCCACAUUAUUUGGAAAUCUGUAAAAUAUUGGAAAGGUGGUUUUUUGUGUGAGUGUGAACAGCGCAUUCUGGCAAGCACCAGGGGACUGAGAUGGGGCUUUGCAGUACUGUGAAAUACUUUCCAGAUAUCCACAUGGCCAGGCUUCAGAGCAGCUAGCCAGCCGGAGAAAGGGACUUGGAAAUUAAAGGUGUUUCAAGACAUAAAUGUCCUGGGCAUUUCUCUGGAAAUAGCUCUCUGAGUUUGCUAAUAAAACAACGGGCACUCAGAACGCUGGCUCUUAUCCAGCUGCCUACAAGAGGUGGGGGAAUUGCGUGCAGGGUAAUUGUAGUGUGGCAACAGGUGCUGGAUUGACAAUCCCGAGCAUGGAAAUCCUGGGUGUACUCCUCAGAGCAGGUACCUGUAUGGCACUGAAGGUAGCACCAACAGCUUCCCCCUCCCCAGCUCCCACCAUCCUGACUCUAACCUCAUAGGUAAGGCGCAGAAGGGAGAGACAAGGUCAGGCGCUAGGGCCCAUUCAAGGAAGUUAAUCAGUGCCGAUUGUUGUGGCCGAUUGUGAUGGCAGUUGUGAUGGUGGUUGUGCUGUGAACACCUAUCCAUUAGGAACUGCUUGCUCUCACCCUUGCUCCAGUCUUGCUCCCGCCCUGCCUCACUCCAGCUAACCUGGUUCGGACUCUUGGCUCCAAUUCCCAACCUCCAACAUCAGCUCUGGCCUUUGGUUCUGAUUCUGCCCCUAGGCUCUGACUCCUGACUCCGCUUGUGACCCUUGGCUCUAGCACCUGGCACCUGGCCUCUGACUCCAGCUUGACCCCGGGCUCCAAUUCCUGGCUCCCAACUCCUGCUCUAACUGCUAGGCAUAACUUCUGCUUUAACCACUAGGCACAACCGCCCACAUCCCAGUCUCUGACAGCAUCAUGUGAGUUCAGUCUGCUCUGCUGGAAGGGAAAGAACAAGUUAAAAAUUACUUAGACAAAUUAGAUGUCUUUACGUCACUGGGGCCUGAUGAAAUACAUCCUAGAAUACUCAGGUAGCUGCCUGAGGAGAUAUCUGAGCCAUUAGCAAUUAUCUUUGAAAAUUCAAGUAGGGGCAUUGCCAGCAGAUCGAGGGAUGUGAUCAUUCCCCUCUAUUCGACAUUGGUGAGGCCACAUCUGGAGUACUGUGUCCAGUUUUGGGCCCCACACUACAAGAAGGAUGUGGAAAAAUUGGAAAGAGUCCAGCGGAGGGCAACAAUGAGGAGAGGCUGAGGGAACUGGGCUUGUUUAGUCUGCAGAAGAGAAGAAUGAGGGGGGAUUUGAUAACUGCUUUCAACUACCUGAAAGGGGGUUCCAAACAGGAUGGAUCUAGACUGUUCUCAAUGGUACCAGAUGACAGAACAAGGAAUAAUGGUCUCAAGUUGCAGUGGGGGAGGUCUAGGUUGGAUAUUAGGAAAAACUAUUUCACUAGGAGGGUGGUGAAGCACUGGAAUGGGUUAAGCACUGGAAAAGGUGGUGGAAUCUCCUUCCUUAAUGGUUUUUAAGGUCAGGCUUGACAAAGCCCUGGCUGGGAUGAUUUCGUUGAGGAUUGGUCCUGCUUUGAGCAGGGGGUUGGAUUAGAUGACCUCCUGAGGUCCCUUCCAACCCUGAUAUUCUAUGAUUCUAUGAUAGAAGAGAUUCCAGAGGACUGGAAAAGGGCAAAUAUAGUGCCCAUCUAUAAAAAAGGGAAAAAGGACAACCCGGGGAAUUACAGACCAGUCAGCUUAACUUCAGUAUCUGGAAAGAUAAUGGAGCAAUCAAGCAAGCAAUUUGCAGACACCUAGAAGAUAAUAAGGUGAUAUGUAACAGUCAACAUGGAUUUGUCAAAAACAAAUCAUGUCAAACCAACCUAGCAACCUUUUUUGACAGGAUAACAAGUCUUGUGGAUAGGAGGAAAGCGGUAGCUGUGGUGUAUCUUGACUUUAGUAAGGCUUUUGAUACUGUACCGCGUGACCUCCUCAUAAAGAAACUAGGGAAAUAUAGCGUAGAUGGAGCUACUAUAAGGUGGGUGCAUAUCUGGUUGGAAAACCAUUCCCAGAGAGUAGUUAUCAGUGAUUCACCGUCAAGUUGGAACGGCAUAUCAAGUGUGGUCCUGCAAGAUUUAGAUAAU